CAGAGACGGCGGCAUCUGAAGCACCUCAUCCACGGGUUCCCUGUGGAUCAAACAUGCGAUGCGCCAUUAUGAACACCAGAUGUCACUAUAACAGGCGCAGCAAAUGAAGCGUUUACUUGUGAUGUAUCUCAAGCUCAGGCUCAUCUCUGCUGGAUGUCGUUGGGGUAAACUCCCCUUAUCUCCUGCCAGAGCUGCUCGGGCAGUGUCAGCGGCGGGACUGGCCCACGAGAUAAAACGCGGUUGGGACACUGAAUGGGUCCCAGACAACAUCAGUGAUUAGUUGCAGCAGCUCGGCCAGAAGAUGUGCCAGUUAUAGCAGAGGGAAUGGAGGCAUCCACAGUUUCCUGUGGAUUGGACACAGCAAACCCAGAGGAUGUACAGGAAAUGAGCACAGAUGAAGCAUGACAGGGGUGGUAUGAGCCAUGACUGCUUUCACUUGAUCACCCUGCCGGACUCUGAUUGGUUGGAUAACUCCAGAUGGCCCCCCUGAUAGGGGAAGGGGUUUUGAGACCAUGCCUCGGAAACCACUGACUGUCAACUCAUCUACUUGGCAGGAAAAGCUUUCUUAACUCAGAGUAAGUUUCCUUUAAAAAUGGUUAAGGAUGAAGUGAACUUAUCAACAUGGGUAAUGGCAUCUGGAAGAUAUGUUAUUAGCUAUUUUAUAAAAAUUAUGCAUGUCAUGCAUGCAAUUUUUCCUUCGUGCAAAGAGAACCAUGAAAAUCUGAGAGACACAGAAAAAUGUUUAAAUAAAGUGAGACCAUGACUGAAAUAAAUUUAAAAUGAGUUCAAAUGUUUUAUGCAUGCAAUAAAAAAAUAAAUAAAAACAAUUAGGCUACAUUUGCAUGUCCCAAAUUAUAUGACACAGAAUCAAACGACCAAAAUUUAGCUCUUACUGACAUUAAAAUUCAAAUGUGAAAUGGGGGAAAAAAUAGUUGAAAAUAUUUACUGUAAAUAAUGUGGUGGGAUGAAUGGAUAUUUUCUAUUUUGCCCUGACCUUGUUACAUUCAACUCAUAAUUAAUGCAGCAACACGUUUAUAUUUUGUGGGUUUUUCCUUUUUAAAUAUACGUUUAUUACAAGGGACACUAAGGGAAACUCCACUCAAUUCAAAGUUUGAGUACAUGCAUUUCCAGCACUGGUGCGGUAUUGAAAUGAUAGCUUAUAGAUAAAUGACUGUUUACACUUUGCAAGGGUGUAACCACAUAUUUAGAUUUGGGACUUUUAUGAUCAUGAUUAGAAAUGUGAAUAUUAGGGGACAUUAAUCCCCUAUAGUGGCCUCCCAUUGUCUGUAUGGUGGUAUUUUGAGCCUGGAUUUAUUUCAAGUUUUAUUUAAAAGACUGCCUUUUGGCAUACUGAAGAAAACAAUCAUUUUUAAAAAAAAUUUUUUAUUAAUAUCAACCACUUUUUAUAGCAUAAAAUCAAAUGCGAUUUGAUUUAUCCCUGUAACUUUCAACCCAGAAUUAAAGUCAAAAGUUGGUUGUUGCACAAGACAUGUUUUGAAAAAGAUAUUUCAUCAUGGAUUAUUCCUUUUUCAAAAAAAUAUCUGCUUUUAUUACAAAAAAAAAAUCACACUGAGGGUUACCAGAAUUCACUUAAGUCAAUGUUGACACGAAUUCCAAACCUACUAUGACAGUGUUGAAAUAAUGUAGCUAUAGUGUUAGUAAUGAUAAAAAACUAUUGAUGAUCAUUUGCAAGGCUAGGAUUUAGGAACCAGCAACAGAUAGUUCAUAAUGAAUAACCAGAAUUGAGAAUAUUAGAGUCCUAGUACUAUGUGCCAGCAAGAGUUGACUGAUUUAUUUAAGCCCAGCCCUAAUAGGAAAUGCCAUUGGACUGACUGAUUCUUGCCGUGUUACAUGCCUUGUCUCAAUAACAAAAACUCUUACUGUAUGUGUAUGACAUGCUCUGUUUUAAGUAGGGACCACCUUUGGAAUUCUGGGAACAUGAUCCAUCACAGGCAGAGUAAUCACAUAUGGCGUAUUUCCUGAGAGAGAGAGCCUGGAUGUGUUGUUGACUCUCUGAUAGUGUAUAUUCUGGAACAGCAAUAGCCAGGCUACUGCUUCCUGCCCAAUCUCAGCUUUUGUUGGCUUGUUUUUGAGAAGCUUGUGUGUGAACACUCUUAUUUGGACAUUUGCUGUGACUAAAAGUGAUCAGUUCUUUUUGUUGUAAACUUAGGAUGCUGAUCAGUGAUAAAGGAGAUGCUCAUGUGUCACUGAAAGAGGUAUUAAAGGACUUUAAAUGUUUAAGUCGAGGACUGCUGCUGCUGUUACUAAACACAACAGAGAGCGGAAAUGAGUCACUCGUUGAAAGGGAGCUUCAUUCUCCCAUGAGAUCUUCCUCUAAUCAGUAUUAUUCCUGAAAGAAAACACCCUUUCAAUAGAACAGCGCUAUCAAAGAGCAGAGCAACCAUGUUAACUGCUUCCUGUAUUUGCCAAACAAAACCUCAUGCCAUUGCAUCCUCAUUGUUUUAGUCUACAACAUUUGAGUUUUACAGAAAGAAAACGAUAAUAAGCUAAAUAAAAUGAUUCAAUAAUUUGCACGAAAAACUAUAUCUGCAAUAUGAAUUUCUUGUAAAGAAUGUGUUACAUUCUUUACUAGAAAUUCAUAUUGUACAAGUUGCAACCCUUCUUGUAAUAAAAAUGCUUAAAAAGCUUAAAAAUAUAUCUAGCAUGAUUCAAUAGCCGUAUUAUGCAAUUACAUAUGCUCAACCCAAUACAAAUAAACAAGUUGUGAAUGGUUAAAUAUUAAACAUUAAUGUGAAGG